GUGCUUUCUUUGGCAGCACAUAUACUAAAAUUGGAACGAUGCAGAGAAGAUUAGCAUAACCCCUCUGCAAGGAUGACAUGCAAAUUCAUGAAGUGUUCCAUGAAGGA